UUUGACGUAAUUUCUCUUGAUGUAGCUAGCAGGUGGCAGAGGUGUAGUUGAAAGUCACCAGCAUUCUGACAGCGAUUAGAAUGUCCUCCGUCUGCUAGUCUUCUUAAAUUCUGUGGAGCUCAAAUAGACAACAAAGCUUGUGGAACUGAUUAAGUGUUAGCAUAAAUAUAUAGCCUUCAUCAUCUUGAGACUCCUUAAUAAUUAUUACUCCCUGUUUUUAUAUUUUUAUUUUAUAAAGCAGAAAAAUAUUUAUUUUAUUUUUAUGCCACCACAGUGAAUGUCCUUAUGGGUUUUAUGCCACUCGUCUACUCACACGGGGCUUACUGUUUUUCACAUUUUUAUUUUCUUUUUAAGACAGUAUAAACAUGAUUAACUAAGUAAACUAUUUAAAAUAUUUGGAAGGGAAAGGGUAACUACCAAGUUUACCUCUUGGCAAGGCGUUCGGUGUUUUUAAGUCCUCCGAACGGGACUCUCCAAUUUCUUAAUCGUCCUGAGGUUCGUUGGGUGGCGUAGUCGGUACUUCCGGCAGUGCCUCCUCUUCUUGUAUAGUUAUCUUCAUUUUCCAUACCUGACUCGGUGCUUCAAUCUCCUCUGGAUAAUUCGGUUUAAACUCAACGUCUUCUGAUCUUACAACUUCUCCUUCAUAGUCUGCCCAUCCAUCCUUGAUGAUCUGCCUCCUCUGGUUGCGGUUGCGUCUCUUUCUGACCUACUUAGAUUCUUCAACGAUAUAGUCAGGGUCAGUAAAAUAACGGCGUACCUUCUCUGAGGGGAAGUGCAUAUGGACUUCUCCGGUUCCAAUGUAGAUAAUAGCUUUAACGGUGCUGAGGAACGGUCUUCCAAGGAUGAUGGGUGGAUCAUACUCAUCUUCUCCCAUGUCAACAACUUGAAAGUCUGUGUAGACAAAAUGAUCGUCUAUUUUGACUGGGACAUUAGAUACUGUUCCUUGAACUUCUCGAAAUGUCUGAUCUGCCAUCUGGAGCUG
rnacentral:lncRNA from 1 species